AUACGUAGGUGGCGAGCGUUGUCCGGAAUUACUGGGCGUAAAGCGCGCGCAGACGGCUUCAUAAGUCAGAUGUGAAAGACCCGGGCUCAACCUGGGGGCGUCAUCUGAGACUGUGGAGCUUGAGUGCAGGAGAGGCAAGUGGAAUUCCCAGUGUAGCAGUGAAAUGCGUAGAGAUUGGGAGGAACACCAGUGGCGAAGGCGACUUGCUGGACUGUAACUGACGUUGAGGUGCGAAAGCUAGGGGAGCAAACGGGAUUAGAUACCCCGGUAGUCCUAGCCGUAAACGAUGGGUACUAGGUGUGGGAGGUAUCGACCCCUUCCGUGCCGCAGUGAACGCAAUAAGUACCCCGCCUGGGGAGUACGGCCGCAAGGUUGAA
rnacentral:rRNA from 1 species